UACGGAGGGAGCUAGCGUUGUUCGGAAUUACUGGGCGUAAAGCGCGCGUAGGCGGCUUUGUAAGUCAGAGGUGAAAUCCCGGAGCUCAACUCCGGAACUGCCUUUGAGACUGCAUCGCUUGAAUCCGGGAGAGGUGAGUGGAAUUCCGAGUGUAGAGGUGAAAUUCGUAGAGAUCAUGAGGAAGACCAGUGGCGAAGGCGGGUCUCUGGACAGUUCCUGACACUGAGACACGAAGGCCAGGGGAGCAAACGGG
rnacentral:rRNA from 1 species